CGUUGGUUCCGGGGGAUGCACUGUCCCAGCUCCACAUUCCGUCGGGAGGGUUUUCUUUCUUCGCUCUCCUUCAACAUCCCCUACCCACACAAUCACGAGAUUCUGCCAACUCUUGCCUGUAACAUGUCUAGAAUACAGCCUCUCGUUAUUCUGUUCCUUCUUAACUUGAGAAGGCGUCCUUAUCACCCGGGAGCUUUGUAAAAAUGUACAAUUCCAGCGCCCCCCCCCCCAAGAUUCCGAUGCAGGAUGUCCACGGCGGGUCCCAAGAAGUCUGCGUUUCUAACAACGCAGCCCGGUGAUCUGAGGGCCAGCGGCGCGGAGCGAUGGGAGCCAGAUUUGAAAGGAAGAAGCAUGUUCCAGGCGGUGAGGCUGGGAGGUGAGAGCCCUGGGCAGGAGGAAGCUGAUAAGGAGGGACAGAAAGGACAGAGAGGCAGGGGGCAGCCUGACGGGCAGCUUCAAUGUGGGGGCUUCCCAGGUCAUGGGAGACAGGCAUGCUUUGGACACGUGGCCGUGUCGGCUGGAGGCAGAAGAUGAGGGUCAGUAGCUGGGGAGCGAGGUCUGGGCUGGACGUGAUCAUUCACCCUCCAGGAUGGAGCUGGCCAGCUGCCACGAGAAGGUUGUCGAGAGGGAACCCCAUUUCAACAGCGACUGGGGAAGACGAGCCAGCAGACAGCAUAGGAGGAAGGAAGAAAACUAUUGUGGAAAACCAGGAGACCCAAGAGGAAGCGGUUAGCUGGGGAACCGUCACCCUUGUAUUUGGGGGGGCCCGGAACAGAGCAGGGAUAUAAAAAAACGCUUUCCCAAUGGAACGGAGGUGCUGCUGGGUCAUGGAAGCACACUGGCCUUGUGUCCACUGCUCAUCUCCUGGCGUUGCAAAAGGGCUGCCAUAGCUCCGGAUAUUGUAUUCUGACACCAGUGGCUCAAGGUGGAAGGAGAGGGGCAGAGACAGAAAGCUAUGGACUGAGAAGAGCUAUGGUCCAGAGCUCCGAUGUCACGCUGACCCAAAGAGAAGAGAACAGGAUUGCCAACCACAGAGCUUGCCCUGAGGUGAAGGGCCCACCCGCGUCCUUUUACCAGUAGUCAACAGGCUGAGCACAUGGGUUGAAGAGGCCAUGACCAGACCCUUGGAUCUGCCUUCGAGUGUCUUCUUCACAAGCUAGAACACAGGUUCAUUUCAUGUAUCCCUUCCUUCACGCACGAAUUCAGUGACCAUUUAUGGGGCAAUGUCCACACGACAGGCUUUGUGCCAGGUCCUGGAAUCAUGGGUCACCCUCUUGAACAACACGCUCAGGAGUUCGCUGUCUCUUAGUCCUGUCCUCUUCUCUACGCCUCCUGACCAGCACCGGUCCUAGUCCAGCCUGAUCAUUUGCCUCCUUGGUACUCACUCCUGCCGGAAUGGUGCUGAUUGGGCCCUCAAGAUCCCAGAUGUUCAGCCCUAUAACCAGGUUCUUUCUUUCUUUCUUUAUUUUUUAAAGAUUUUAUUUAUUUAUUUGUCAGAGAGAGAGUGAGUGAGAGCGAGCACAGGCAGACAGAGUGGAAGGCAGAGUCAGAGGGAGAAGCAGGCUCCCUGCGGAGCAAGGAGCCCGAUGUGGGACUCGAUCCCAGGACGCUGGGCUCAUGACCUGAGCCGAAGGCAGUUGCUUAACCAACUGAGCCACCCAGGCGCCCCUAUAACCAGGUUCUUGAUAGAACCCUUCAGUUCUUACACCUGCCCCCAAGGUGGCUAUUCCAAACAUCUCCCAUGGCCCAUCAAGCCCCUACUCUUCUCAUCAAGUCUUUCCUACUUCCUCCCUGGGCAAGCAGAGGUCAUGAACAUGUUCUCCCAGCUUUACUCUCCCGGACGGACAUGCUUAGUGCCCAGAACUUCUCUCAAGACUCACCUAGAGCUACUCUUUCUUUCCUUGUCCUCUCCUAAGCCUCGGUUCAAAGGUCUCCUCUUUUUAAAACCUUAGCAGCAGUAAGACCAUCACUAGCAAAUAUGUAUUUGGCACCGGGCUGAGCAUUUCACAGGAACUGUCCCAAUUCUAUCCUCGCACAAAGCUGGGGAAGGGUUCAGGUCCACUUGGCAGACGAGAAACGGAAGCACAGGGUAAGUUAACUUGCCCCACGUUCCUCCAGGGUGGGGCCAGGAUUCAAGCCCUGAUCUGCCCGGGACUCGGAAAGUGCUGCUCCCCAGGACCGGGCGAACUCUCCUGGGCUCACCCCACCCCUGUCACUUGUGCCUUCCCGGCGCACGCGCACACAUCCUCUCCCCAGACAAUCAACCCACUGAUGAGAUCUGUCUCUCUUCUGGUCGGCUUCCCGCCCUGGACUGGGAGUGCCCCGAGGGCAGAGAUCCUGUCUGAUUCACAGUGUCCUCCCCAACACCUGCCACUCCCGUGGUGCGGUCACCAGCGGCAGAGUUGGAGUCAUGAGCGAGGGGAUGAGGAGGGUGACACCGGCAGAGGGCGGGGUGACUCAGGACCGGUUCCCAGCAAAAAGGGUUGCUUGGCUAUGGGGUGCGCGCUGGCAGGCUUAGGGAUCACCCCCCCACCUGCCUCAUUCAUUCACCAAGUGUGCGCAGGCUGUCUGCUACGUGCUGGGCAUUAUCAUAGUUGCCAGAAACAAAAAAAGCAAAUAAGAAUCCCCACCCUCCCCUGGGAAGCUGACACUCCAGGGGGUACACAGGCUUUCCCAGGCAAUGUGCCUAGGUUUCCACCCCCACUCGCCCACCCCUGGGUCCCUGUUUUUCCCUCAGUGCUGGGACACUUACAGUGUCUGUUGUCAAACUGUAUCUCCUGAGAGUUUUUUUUUUUUUUUUUUAAGAUUUUAUUUAUUUAUUUGACAGAGAGAAAUUACAAGUACACUGAGAGGCAGGCAGAGAGAGAGAGAAAAGGAAGCAGGCUCCCUGCUGAGCAGAGAGCCCAAUGCGGGACUCGAUCCCAGGACCCUGAGAUCAUGACCGGAGCCUAAGGCAGCGGCUUAACCCACUGAGCCACCCAGGCGCCCUCUCCUGAGAGUUUUAUCUUCAAUGUUCGUCACUAAGGCCAAGGAGCUGAAGAACCAGAAAUAAAAGAGAGUUUGAAACAGACAAAACCCAAAGGCGUGAAUGUCACCACCCUCUCUGCUGAGCGUCACCUGCACGGGGCUUCCUGUCAGGUGUGAGACGAGGUUCCAUCUCCCACUUCUCUGUGAAUAUAAGUCCUCCCCCGAGCUCUUCCAUGAGCGAGCCAGAGCACCCUCCCCUUCCCCUGCCCCUCUAGAGGGCCCGAACGCCUCAGGGUCCAGAGCUCCCUCAUGCUCCCCCUGCCCCACGCUGGGGUUGGGACUUUGCCCUUAGGACCGGGUGAGACAGGAGGCUGCUUGCAGGCCCCCCCGAGACCUGGACCAGAGGCAGCCCCUACAGUCAUUCCACGAAUGCAUCUGUCCGUCUUCAACCAGACCGCGCCUCAGGAGAGAUCACGGACAAAGGAUACAAGUCCACCCAGGGUAUAUGACCCCCGAAGCUUGUCACUCUGGGCCAAACCAUCCAGGGCACCCAGGGCUAUGUCCCCCACACUGGGGGCAAAGGGCGGGGGGAGACGGAGAUGCCUGCUGCAGCAGGUCUCUGCCUUUGAGCACUGAGGUCACCCUCCUAUCCACGACCUGUGGCCUGCAGGAAGAGCUGGGCAGGGGCAGCUGAGCUCAGACACUGUGGCCUCUCUCAGGAGUCCCCAGCCUCAGUGAGGCUGAUCCCAUGGCCCACAGCCCUGGGCUCCGCUACGGAGGGCGGGUCUCAGGCUGAGCCACCUCUGCCUGGAGCGUGCAGCCCCGCCCUUGGCUCUGGCCCAGGAGUCCCUGCCGAGGUCCGCCCGCUCCUCAGCCUCCCUGUUGCGGAAGCGACGUUCCCAUGCUGGGCAUGUCCUGAUCACUACUUCCAGGGCAGGGCUGGGAGUGAGCUGCCGCUACUGACAUGGGCCCAGCGUCGCCUAGAUGUCACCCAGCAGGCCUCGGUGCUCCCCCCAGCAGUCUGGGGCCUGAUCUUGCUGCUGCCAGGCCACCCCUUUUGCCUUCCGCCUCCAACCCCUGCAGGGCCUGUUUGCAACCCUGUCCUGGGGCCAGAAAUAACCUAGCCAGGUUUCGAGGCAGCCAGGAAGACGGAGCAGCUCAAGACAGGUCCAGAGACACCAACACCAAAACAAGUUUUGAAGAUGUGUCCGCAUUUGCAUCCGCCAGCUGGAGACAUCCGAGAGGACAGGAACCCAGAAACACAGAACUUACUCUUCAUUAUUUCUCAUUAUUCCCCCCAAUAAAGUACCACUUACUGCGUGUCUUCUGAUUACGACUCGGUAUUUG